UACGGAGGGAGCUAGCGUUGUUCGGAAUUACUGGGCGUAAAGCGCACGUAGGCGGCUAUUCAAGUCGGGGGUGAAAGCCCGGGGCUCAACCCCGGAACUGCCCUCGAAACUAGGUAGCUAGAAUCUUGGAGAGGGCAGUGGAAUUCCGAGUGUAGAGGUGAAAUUCGUAGAUAUUCGGAAGAACACCAGUGGCGAAGGCGACUCGCUGGACAAGUAUUGACGCUGAGGUGCGAAAGCGUGGGGAGCAAAAAGG
rnacentral:rRNA from 1 species